GAUGAACGCUGGCGGCGUGCCUAAUACAUGCAAGUCGAGCGAACAGACGAGGAGCUUGCUCCUUCGACGUUAGCGGCGGACGGGUGAGUAACACGUAGGUAACCUACCUAUAAGACUGGGAUAACUUCGGGAAACCGGAGCUAAUACCGGAUAAUAUUUCGAACCGCAUGGUUCGAUAGUGAAAGAUGGCUUUGCUAUCACUUAUAGAUGGACCUGCGCCGUAUUAGCUAGUUGGUAAGGUAACGGCUUACCAAGGCAACGAUACGUAGCCGACCUGAGAGGGUGAUCGCCCACACUGGAACUGAGCCACGGUCCAGACUCCUACGGGAGGCAGCAGUAGGGAAUCUUCCGCAAUGGGCGAAAGCCUGACGGAGCAACGCCGCGUGAGUGAUGAAGGUCUUCGGAUCGUAAAACUCUGUUAUUAGGGAAGAACAAACGUGUAAGUAACUGUGCACGUCUUGACGGUACCUAAUCAGAAAGCCACGGCUAACUACGUG
rnacentral:rRNA from 1 species